CAGCCCUGAAAAUGGAUGGCGCUGGAGCGUCGGACCUAUACCGGACCGUCUCGGCAUCAGUUGGGGCCCUUCGGGGCCGAGCCAAGCCGAGACGAGUAGGAGGGCCGCCGCGGUGAGCGCCGAAGCCUGGGGCGCGAGCCUGGGUGGAGCCGCCGCGGGUGCAGAUCUUGGUGGUAGG
rnacentral:rRNA from 1 species